AGGACGAACGCUGGCGGCGUGCCUAACACAUGCAAGUGGAGCGACGAACCAGGCUUCGGCCUGGGGCAAAGCCGCGAACGGGUGAGUAACACGUGGGUAACCUGCCCCGAUGACCGGGACAACCCGAGGAAACUCGGGCUAAUACCGGAUGUGUCCUCCGGCCAUAAGGCCGCUGGGGAAAGGAGCUUCGGCCUCCGCAUCGGGAUGGGCCCGCGGCCCAUUAGCUUGUUGGUGAGGUAACGGCUCACCAAGGCGACGAUGGGUAGCUGGUCUGAGAGGAUGAUCAGCCUCACUGGGACUGAGACACGGCCCAGACUCCUACGGGAGGCAGCAGUGGGGAAUAUUGGACAAUGGGCGCAAGCCUGAUCCAGCCAUGCCGCGUGGAUGAUGAAGGCCCUAGGGUUGUAAAGUCCUUUCGACGGGGAAGAUAAUGACGGUACCCGUAGAAGAAGCCCCGGCUAACUUCGUGCCAGCAGCCGC
rnacentral:rRNA from 1 species